AUGGCAGUGGGGACCAUGUGACCACUGCAGUAGUCGUAUGUGUUCUCAGAUACAUGUGUUGCUCCUAGAGCUGAGGCCAGCCCAGCAGCCUGGAAAACCCUGGAGUCAUGUGAUCUUAUUGUACAUCUGUUGUGGAGAUUCUUAUCCCCCUGCUUCAAAGAUCUCUGAGCUCCAUGACAACUCAUUUGAGCUAAAGAUAAGGGCCAGUGGACAGUGGAAACACGACUUUCAGAUGGA